ensembl:lncRNA
UAUUAUCAAAGUCUUUUUUAAAGUCUUAGUUAAUACAUAUGUAUGAUCUCUCCAAGGACAAUUUUAUUUGAUUCAUCCUGCAACCAGCUCCUACUGCAUAUGUAACUUCAGUAAGCUUCAGAGGAUAAUGAGGUGGUGUGGUCCACUGUGUCGAGCAAUUACUGGGCUUCAAGAGUUUCCUAAUCCUUUCUGAGGUUCCAGGAAAACUCUUCCUGGGUCCGUGGGCAUGGGUGACAGUCUGUGCCACCCUCAAAGUAGUCAGGAGAUUGGAAUUCCAUGGUGAUUCUCUGCUACAUAGCAAGGGCCUGGCUCAAAGCCUUAGUAGCAUUCCAGAGGCAUUCUACCCACAAUGCCUUUUAUAGAUCUUUGCUUUUAAUGUCUCCCUCAAACUAUUUUCAAAAGCAAAGACAAAUAAAAAGGUCGCCAUUUCCAUUUAGUAUUUCAGCUCCUUUGUUUUUUUGUUAGUCUUUUGAUUAAAACAAAUAAAUCAAAAACCACAAAACUUUUCAUUUUUCCUGAGAGUUUACCUCUUACAGGGUUCACAACAAAAUAGACCAUCCAAACUCCCUUCAGAGUCUCAUAAACGACAGGGCUUCAGCUAUGCAACAGGGAGUUUGCGCCACUGACCAAUGUCAAGUUGAAUAAUCUCCUAUGACUUUUGUUCAUCCACAGAAAAGAGGCUUUUUUUAAUAGAGAUUGAAAGAAUUGCUCUGCACUUGGUUAUUCGAAUGCUGAUCUUUGAACUGCCCAAGACAGAAGGGAGUUAAAGAACAGCAGUGAAGAAGAAAGUCAACUGAAAGGGAGCCAAUAUUGGUUGGAUAUCUCCUAUGGUGCAGGCAUUGUAAAAAAUUGCAUUCUGCGGACAGAGAGAUCUGCUGGGAAACCACAGACCAACACCCCAGGCACUAAACAGUACAGUCCUAUUCCACAGCCUGCUCAGACCCUGCUCCUGCUGUUGUCCAUGUGUGAGACCCAGCCUCGCACUCCCUUGACCAUGACGUGAGUUAUUGACUGCUCAUCACUCUGGGGCCGGUAGGACUCUGCCUGUGGAUAUUUCCUCGUGUUGUCAGGAAAAGACGGUCUUUCCAGGGAAUGGGAAAUGAAGACGGAAAAUAUCCUUGCCUUUCCCAUGUAUUCUUCGAUUUCUAUUCUAUGGGACAGUGCCGCUCUAGAUAUUUGGAUGAAAGGUGGCCAUAUGGAAGAAAUGCCUUCCCGUCUCAUCCAAGAGCCCAAGGUGUCCCUCCACAGGUGGUAUUUGGUGAAGGUGAAUGAUAAAGAUCAGAUUCAAGUAAGAAAAAUCAGAAGUGAACACCAUAGAGUCUGAAGACAAUGGUGUGUAUAGCAGACACUGUCAAUCCCUUACUCAUGUGCCCUCAGCACUCAUCCUUCCAUAAACACUGACUGCUUCUUCCUGAACACACUCAAACAUUUCCUGAAGAGUGCUCUGAUAGCAGGGAUGUCCUCAGCCCAGGGGGAUGGAGGAUGGAGGGGCCUAGGCAUUAAUGUCCUUGAGAACAAUCUUCAAUCAAGAUGAAUGGAAAUUGAUGGAUAAAUGUCCCAGUUUCUUUGCCCCUCGUGUAGGAUUACACUGAGGUGGGUCCUUUCCCUUCUCCUAGGGAUGCCCCAAUUGCCUGUAGCAGUAACCAGUUCACUAAAACCUUGUUCUGGCUUUCUUCUCUUCUUCCUGCCCUCCUGGUAAUUCCUGGGAUCACUUCCUAGACAAGCCUUCUUUUGUUCAAUCUUAUUUGCAGGGCCUGCUUCUAGAGAAAUCCAACUUAAAACAGAAUAUGUGUAUGAUAUACAUGUGUCUGCAUGUAGGAGUGUACAGGCACAAAGACAAAAAGAUAGUCCUACGUAUUUCCAGUUAGUGUAAGUGUUCAUGGGUAAACUUGACGUCAUAAUUCUCCAUGAGAGUUUUCUUAGUGUAGUUGCUUUCUUGUCUUCUGGUUCUGCAUUCAUGUUUCACCAUUCUGUCCCUGGUAAUAUCCUACCUACUCCCCUCAACAGCACAUCCUCUGGAUGGCUCUGUUCACAAAGCCUUGCAGUUGCCAAGUUGGUCUUGGUUCUAGAAAUAUGGACCAAAUGUGACAGCCUAAAAGUUUUCCUUUUGACAUUUGUUGAAAGGAAAAACAGUUUUCUUCCCCUGAACAUAGCAUGAGAAUGACACUCUACCUUCCAGCAUCCUCAUAUUGUGACAAGUUGAUAAGCACUCUAUUUUCACCCGCCCAUUUUCUCCACCAUAAAUAGGUCUCAAUUUGUAACCCACGUGUGCAGUUUCUCCUAGAAGCAGGGAAAAAGGCAUACUGCCCCAUGUUAGCUCAGCAGGGCGAGAGCAGUGGAAAAGAUGAAGGGUCAGAGUUACCCACCACAAAUGCGUCUGAAAGAUGGCACCGACAAAAUCAGAAUGUGCUUUCCUGGGAACACUGCCCCUGUGACAUACAAGCCAUGCUAUCUCAGUG